rnacentral:lncRNA from 1 species
UCUAGAGCAAAAAGCGGACGGGUCACGUAAUUUGGGCUUGAUACUAGUUCUAAGAGUCGAAAACAGAUGAUUCAGAUUACCAUGACCAGCUCUCUUUAUAAAUAGGCGGUGACUAGAAAUUGACAUAAGCUAGAUACUCUGACACCAGUCAGCAAGAUCCAGAGAAUUGGAAGCAACCUGCAACAUAGGAUCCCAGAAAUGUCCAUCAAGCCGGCUCAUAAAGGAUUAAACCUUGCAGUACACAACGAACUGUUAAUGGUUGAAUCCCCUUGUUUAACAGAUGACAGAAUAUGACAGCAUACUUCCAAAAACUGUAACAGCUCGAAAGAUCACAGACAAGAUCCGCAACAUCCAGAACGGAAUAAUGUUCAUUAAGGCCUCUCCAGUCAACAAGGCAGGCCUUUUGAUAUAAAAACCUAGCCAUCCAAAGAUUUAACCAAUAGCCUGUACUAUAGAAUUAAUCAUAGAAAGGCUUCAUCCAACAAAUUAGGAUCAACAUUUUAAUUUGAAAUGAUACCUUACUGCUUCAAAAUAAACCAUCUGAAUUCUGAAGCCCUUAAUAAUUAAUGAAGGCUAAGAAGAUUUACCUAAAAUGCAAAUGAUAUAUUUAUCAUUGUACCAAAACUAACUCUUUCACAAAAUUCUGCCAACAACUUCUCUACCUGUAUUUCUUGCAUCAAAUAAUAACUUCCCGCAGUUCCUCAAUCUUGGGAUGUCAACUUCAUGUAGCAAAUCAAAAUUUUUCUUGAUAAACCUCAGGCAAUUUUCUUAUACAGCUACUUCACAAGUGAAAAUGAUGAAGAUGAGCACAUUCUGCCAAAGGAAUGUGUCAUGCACGCAUGGCAAGUAAUACUCGAGGCCUACUGAAUAAACCUGCAGUUUGGCUCUUUGGGUCCCCUUAGCCAGCUGUUUCGAUCUUGAAGGUGCC